rnacentral:rRNA from 1 species
GAUCAUGGCUCAGGAUGAACGCUAGCGACAGGCUUAACACAUGCAAGUCGAGGGGCAGCGAGGAAGUGGCAACACUUCUGUCGGCGACCGGCGCACGGGUGAGUAACGCGUAUGCAACCUGCCCUUCACAGGGGGAUAACCGGGAGAAAUUCCGACUAAUACCGCAUACGUCCUCCGGGGCGGAUCCCACGGGGGAGUGAAAGAAUUAAUUCGGUGAAGGAAGUAGGGCGAUGCGUGAUAUUAGGUUAGGUUGGUCGGGGG